CAGUAGCCGCGGGAAUACAGAGGAUGCAAGCGUUAUCCGGAAUGAUUGGGCGUAAAGCGUCUGUAGGUGGCUUUUCAAGUCCGCCGUCAAAUCCCAGGGCUCAACCUUGGACAGGCGGUGGAAACUACCAAGCUGGAGUACGGUAGGGGCAGAGGGAAUUUCCAGUGGAGCGAUGAAAUGCGUUGAGAUCGAAAAGAACACCAACAGCGAAAGCACUCUGCUGGGACGACACUGACACUAAGAGACAAAAGCUAGGGGAGCAAAUGGGAUUAGAUACCCCCGUAGUCCCUGUCUCUUAUAA
rnacentral:rRNA from 1 species